AUUGAACGCUGGCGGCAUGCCUUACACAUGCAAGUCGAACGGUAACAGGUCUUCGGAUGCUGACGAGUGGCGAACGGGUGAGUAAUACAUCGGAACGUGCCCGAUCGUGGGGGAUAACGGAGCGAAAGCCUUGCUAAUACCGCAUACGAUCUACGGAUGAAAGCAGGGGACCGCAAGGCCUUGCGCGGAAGGGGCGGCCGAUGGCAGAGUAGGUAGUUGGUGGGAUAAAAGCUUACCAAGCCGACGCUCUGUAGCUGGUCUGAGAGGACGACCAGCCACACUGGGACUGAGACACGGCCCAGACUCCUACGGGAGGCAGCAGUGGGGAAUUUUGGACAAUGGGCGAAAGCCUGAUCCAGCCAUGCCGCGUGCAGGAUGAAGGCCUUCGGGUUGUAAACUGCUUUUGUACGGAACGAAAAGCCUCUUUCUAAUAAAGAGAGGUCAUGACGGUACCGUAAGAAUAAGCACCGGCUAACUACGUGCCAGCAGCCGCCGUAACAC
rnacentral:rRNA from 1 species